ensembl:snRNA Gm25721 U1 spliceosomal RNA
GUGCUUACCAGGCAGAGGAGAUACCAUGAUUGCAGGGUGGUUUUCCCAGGGUGAGGCUUAUCCAGUGUCCUCUGGACAUGCUGACCCCAGUGAGUUCCCCACUAUGAGAAAGUAACCACAUGGUUUAUGGUAGAGGACUGAAUUCAUAUUUCCACCUA